rnacentral:ncRNA from 2 species
AAGUCCGUCCCCGGUUCAGGUGCCUGUGACGCUUUUGCGCAUUGCUUAAGUAAAACAGGUUAAAUGGGAAGUGAGGUGAUGCCAGGCAUACUCCUCCGCUGCCCCCGCAACGGUCAACAGCUUUAGCUGAGAGCCCGAAACCAGCCAGAACUGAGCAACGAUG